CCUACGGGUGGCAGCAGUGAGGAAUAUUGGUCAAUGGGCGCGAGCCUGAACCAGCCAAGUAGCGUGAAGGAUGACUGCCCUACGGGUUGUAAACUUCUUUUAUAAAGGAAUAAAGUGAGGCACGUGUGCCUUUUUGUAUGUACUUUAUGAAUAAGGAUCGGCUAACUCCGUGCCAGCAGCCGCGGUAAUACGGAGGAUCCGAGCGUUAUCCGGAUUUAUUGGGUUUAAAGGGAGCGUAGAUGGUUUGUUAAGUCAGUUGUGAAAGUCUGCGGCUCAACCGUAAAAUUGCAAUUGCUACUGGCAGGCUUGAGUACAGUUGAGGUAGGCGGAAUGCGUGGUGUAGCGGUGAAAUGCUUAGAUAGCACGAAGAACUCCGAUUGCGAAGGCAGCUUACUAAGCUGCCACUGACAUUGAUGCUCGAAAGUGUGGGUAUCAAACAGGAUUAGAUACCCGGGUAGUC
rnacentral:rRNA from 1 species